rnacentral:rRNA from 1 species
UGCGUAGGCGGUGAGGUAAGUCGGAUGUGAAAUCUCCGGGCUCAACCCGGAAAUGGCAUUGGAAACUACCUUGCUGGAGGAUUUGAGGGGGGAGUUGGAAUACUUGGUGUAGCAGUGAAAUGCGUAGAUAUCAAGUGGAACACCAGUGGCGAAGGCGAAUCCCUGGAAAAUACCUGACACUGAGGCACGAAAGCUAGGGGAGCAAACA